rnacentral:rRNA from 1 species
AUUGAACGCUGGCGGCAUGCCUUACACAUGCAAGUCGAACGGUAACAGGUCUUCGGAUGCUGUCGAGUGGCGAACGGGUGAGUAAUACAUCGGAACGUGCCCGAUCGUGGGGGAUAACUACUCGAAAGAGUAGCUAAUACCGCAUACGAUCUACGGAUGAAAGCGGGGGAUCUUCGGACCUCGUGCGGACGGAGCGGCCGAUGGCAGAUUAGGUAGUUGGUGGGCUAAAAGCUUACCAAGCCGACGAUCUGUAGCUGGUCUGAGAGGACGACCAGCCACACGGGGACUGAGACACGGCCCAGACUCCUGCGGGGGGCAGAAGUGGGGAAUUUUGGACAAUGGGCGAAAGCGUGAUCCAGCAAUGCCGCGUGCAGGAUGAAGGCCUUCGGGUUGUAAACUGCUUUUGUACGGAACGAAAAGACUCCUUCUAAGACGGGGGGUCCAUGACGGUACCGUAAGAAUAAGCACCGGCUAACUACGUGCCAGCCGCCGCCGUAACAC